GGGCCCGCACAAGCGGUGGAGCAUGUGGUUUAAUUCGAUGAUACGCGAGGAACCUUACCAGGGCUUAAAUGUAAGUUGCAUUAGUUAGAGAUAGACCCUUCUUCGGACUCAUUACAAGGUGCUGCAUGGUUGUCGUCAGCUCGUGCCGUGAGGUGUCAGGUUAAGUCCUAUAACGAGCGCAACCCCUAUCGUUAGUUGCCAGCGAGUAAUGUCGGGAACUCUAACGAAACUGCCAGUGCAAACUGUGAGGAAGGUGGGGAUGACGUCAAAUCAUCACGGCCCUUACGUCCUGGCUACACACGUGCUACAAUGGCCGGUACAGAGAGCAGCCACUUCGCAAGAAGGAGCG
rnacentral:rRNA from 1 species